UACGGAGGGAGCUAGCGUUGUUCGGAAAUACUGGGCGUAAAGCGCACGUAGGCGGCGCAGCAAGUCAGGGGUGGAAUCCCGGGGCUCAACCUCGGAACUGCCCUUGAAACUGCAGUGCUAGAAUCUUGGAGAGGUCAGUGGAAUUCCGAGUGUAGAGGUGAAAUUCGUAGAUAUUCGGAAGAACACCAGUGGCGAAGGCGACUGACUGGACAAGUAUUGACGCUGAGGUGCGAAAGCGUGGGGAGCAAACAGG
rnacentral:rRNA from 1 species